GAUGAACGCUGGCGGCGUGCCUAACACAUGCAAGUCGAACGGAGAUUACGGACGGAAGUUUUCGGAUGGAUGACUGUAAUUCUUAGUGGCGGACGGGUGAGUAACGCGUGGGCAACCUGCCCUAUACAGGGGGAUAGCAGCUGGAAACGGCUGGUAAGACCGCAUAAGUCGGCGAGACCGCAUGGUCUUGCCGGGUAAUGAGCAAUCAGGUAUAGGAUGGGCCCGAGUCCGAUUAGCCAGUUGGCAGGGUAAAAGCCUACCAAAGCAACGAUCGGUAGACGGACUGAGAGGUCGGACGGCCACAUUGGGACUGAGACACGGCCCAAACUCCUACGGGAGGCAGCAGUGGGGGAUAUUGCACAAUGGAGGAAACUCUGAUGCAGCGACGACGCGUGAGUGAAGAAGUAUUUCAGUAUGUAAAGCGCUAGCAGCAGGGAAGAUGAUGACGGUACCUGACUAAGAAGCCCCGGCUAACUACGUG
rnacentral:rRNA from 1 species